UACGGGGGGGCAAGCGUUGUUCGGAAUUACUGGGCGUAAAGGGCUCGUAGGCGGCCAACUAAGUCGGAUGUGAAAUCCCCCAAGCUUAACUUGGGAACUGCAUCCGAUAUGGAUGGCUUGAAUCCGGGAGAGGGAUGCAGAAUUCCAGGUGUAGCGGUGAAAAUGCGUAGAUAUCUGGGAGGAAAUACCGGUGGCGAAAGGCGGCAUCCUGGACCGGCAUUGACGCUAGGGAGCGAAAAAAGCUAGGGGGGAGCAAAACGGGGGGAUUUAGAAAAAACCCCCC
rnacentral:rRNA from 1 species